UUAAAGGCUUGAUUAACCCAUAAAUCCUUGUCAGUUGAAGAUGCUGUUCGUUCUAAAACCGACCUUGAGGUGUGCAGAGCCAUCGGACCUGACGGUGGGUGGCACAGUGGAUUUGUAAGGGGUGAACAUUGCUAUUAUGAAAAAGACUGGGAAACUCAUCAAGCCAAAAGCCAUGAGAUUCUGGUUGAUCCGUGCGGAGGACGUGGUUGGAAAUGGGUGGAGGGGGCACAAGGAAACAUGUACACAUAUGACGAAUCGAGGAGGUUUCCAGGAGUCAAAUACUACGUGUGUAGUUUGAGGAGAAAUGGCUAUGUAGGGAAGCUUUUCAACACACGGCAUGGCUUUCUGUGCCAUUUUCCACUUGGCUCAUAUAACCGGGAUGGAAGUUUCUAUGCACUGGUUACACAACCAUGUAUGUGAAGACACUUCACCAUGAUUCACGGUUCAGUUUCUCUAGUUCCUUUUUCAAGCUUUGAUUGGGUGGUGCUGCUGUAUUCAUCUUUCAAAAGACAGACUGAACCUAAAUGCACAGACG